rnacentral:rRNA from 1 species
GGGGACGUCAGGUAGUGGCAACGGGUGCGUAACGCGUGGGAACCUGCCUUUAGGUUCGGAAUAACUCAGAGAAAUUUGAGCUAAUACCGGAUAAUGUCUUCGGACCAAAGAUUUAUCGCCUUUAGAUGGGCCCGCGUUAGAUUAGAUAGUUGGUGGGGUAACGGCCUACCAAGUCGACGAUCUAUAGCUGGUCUGAGAGGAUGAUCAGCCACACUGGGACUGAGACGCGGCCCAGACUCCUACGGGAGGCAGCAGUGGGGAAUGUUGGACAAUGGGCGAAAGCCUGAUCCAGCAAUGCCGCGUGAGUGAUGAAGGCCUUAGGGUUGUAAAGCUCUUUUGCUAGGGAUGAUAAUGACAGUACCUAGAGAAUAAGCUCCGGCUAACUCCGUGCCAGCAGCCGCGGUAAUACGGAGGGAGCUAGCGCUGUUCGGAAUUACUGGGCGUAAAGCGCGCGUAGGCGGCUUAUCAAGUCAGGGGUGAAAUCCCGGAGCUCAACUCCGGAACUGCCCUUGAAACUGGUUGGCUAGAAUAUUGGAGAGGUAAGUGGAAUUCCGAGUGUAGAGGUGAAAUUCGUAGAUAUUCGGAAGAGCACCAGUGGCGAAGGCGACUUACUGGACAAUUAUUGACGCUGAGGUGCGAAAGCGUGGGGA